AGACUCACUGUGAAACUUGGCGAUUGAGAGAGUGAGGUGUCAGCGUAAAGACAGACACAUAGGCCAGUGGAACAGGAGAGAGUCCAGAAGCACGCAGAGGGACGCUGGACUGAGGACGAAAGCAGCACUGCGACCCUAGGAAAGGAGAGCCACACGAGCAGACAGUGCUGGAACCACCGGGAGAAUCACGACCCCAACCCCAUGCCACCCCGGACCCCACGCCACCCCCGACCUCACACCAUACACAAGAACUAACUGGGGACGGAUCUUGGUCCAAAAUGUGAAGGCCCAAACAAUACAGCUGCCAGAAGACAGAAGGAAGGACCUUCAUGAUCCAGGGGACUACAAUUCAGUGAUACAAAGAAACUGCUGAUGCACAGGAGAGCGUGGAUGCAUCUCUGAGACAUUACACUGGCUGAAAGGAGCCAGACAGAAGAGGCCACACACCGUGUGCUCCGAUUUAUGUGAAGUUCAAGGACAGAGAAACUUAACCUGUGGGGGUGGGAGUUGGUAUGGGGGGUGCUGCUGUGGAGAGGCGUGAGGGGGUCCCGGGGUGCCGGGUCAGCUGGGUGUCCACAAACACGGGAGCACUCACGGAGCUUCAGAUGCCUUCACACACUGCAGCGUGUGCAUGUGACUCCCGAUGAAGUUGACAGAGACGGUCACUUCACACGAGAGGAUGCUCUGACAACACCCCAUCCACCACCAAAUUAGGGCCCCUCGGUUAUCCGCCCAGAGGCCCCCUGCUUUCCUUCAGAACACAAAAUGCCAUUGGCAAUUCCACGUUUGUUGGUAGGUUUAUCCUUUCUCUAGCCCCCACAGAGAUGCCAGUUCCCCCAGCACCUAGCCUGCAUCUGUAUGUAGUAGGUGCUCAAUAAACACCUGUUGAAUGAA